rnacentral:rRNA from 1 species
GACGAACGCUGGCGGCGUGCUUAACACAUGCAAGUCGAACGGUGAAGCUCCAGCUUGCUGGAGUGGAUCAGUGGCGAACGGGUGAGUAACACGUGAGCAACCUGCCCCUGACUCUGGAAUAAGCGCUGGAAACGGCGUCUAAUACUGGAUACGAGAAGGGUCCGCAUGGGCACUUUCUGGAAAGUUUUUCGGUUGGGGAUGGGCUCGCGGCCUAUCAGCUUGUUGGUGAGGUAAUGGCUCACCAAGGCGACGACGGAUAGCCGGCCUGAGAGGGCGACCGGCCACACUGGGACUGAGAGACGGCCCAGACUGCUACGGGAGGCAGCAGUGGGGAAUAUUGUACAAUGGGCGAAAGCCUGAUGCAGCGACGCCGCGUGAGGGAUGACGGCCUUCGGGUUGUAAACCUCUUUCAGCAGGGAAGAAGCGAAAGUGACGGUACCUGCAGAAGAAGCACCGGCUAACUACGUG